AAUUCCUUUUACUUCUUUAAAUUACUUUACUUAACUUGCAAAGAUAGGGCUUUAUCAUUUUUUUAUUCUUGAGUAAGUUUUAAAGUAAGCAAAUAUUAGAAAAAUAUCUUUAACCUUCUCUCUUAUGCUUUAAAAUGUAACUUUGCUAAGGGUGAAUUAAAAGCUAAAACAUUAUAAGAAUAGGAACAUCCACAAAAUAUUUAAUGCAUUCUUCGCUUCCCUUACGUGAAUGCUUGUGUUAGUUAAUUUACCUUCACACAAUUGAUAAUACUUUGCUAAAAUAGUAUAUUAGUGUUAAUGUAAUGUUAUUUACCUAGAAGUAACGUAAAGUAAACACUUAAGGAUACAGUAGACCCGGGCGGUAAUUACCCCGAUCGUCCCGGCAAAACGCGCUUAAUUUUAAGUGCUUCUGUCUGGUCCAAAGUGCUUAAACUUAAACAAGAGGUAAAAAACCUGAAAAGAAAACUCAAGGUGAGUUUACACCGUGUGAUUAUGCUGAAGUUGCAAUACUUAUGGCAAAAACGAAAUGGUUGUUGUUGGUUAAACGGCGGCUUCGAUAUUCUGAAUCCACUCCCUGGAUAUGAGGAAUUUGGCUCUCAAACAUAGGAAAUAUUUAGGCACAAAUUCAAAUUAUGUCAUUCGGUACUUUUCUCCUGCCCGGCCUGGAUUUUAUGAUUUUGGUAAUUAUGUAUCAUAUAUUAGUAGCCGAAUGCAGUGAAUAUAUGGAUUUUUUAAAGGCUGUGACUGUGCAGUUUUUGCACAUUGUAAUAGUCCUCUCCGCUGUUAUCACAUAAAGAAUAUUAAGUGUUCUUUUUUGUAUUUUUUAUAGGUUUACAAAGAUGUUCCUGCAGAGGAUCAGCCCAGUCCAGUGUCACAACAAAAGCAGAAAAUUAAAUAUCUGUCAAAGCCCCUGGAAGGGGUAAAGAGGCUCCUGUCAGACCUCUUUACCGAAGAAGAGCUCAUGCGGUGCACACUGAGGGGGAAGGGAAGGUCCAGAGGGAUGCCCUGGACCAGCAACAAGAUGCAGAUAAUUUAUGGUGCAAUGAGGGGAAAUUACGGAAUGACUGAUGAGAAAAUGGACCAGCUGAUUAGAAAUCAGCAAAAUCCUUAAAAGACAAAACCAAAAAAUUCCUUAAGUAAAGCUAAGUGAAAUGUCCAUUGUUGGUGUAAAAUGUUCGCUUUAGUAGGUUUUUUAAUCAUAGAGAUUUUUUAGCUUGCCUUGCACUUUUUGUUGUAUACCAACUUUUUGUCGAAUUUGGUUUUGUCUUUUAACGAUUUUUGCUGAUUUCUAUAACGUUAUAGAAGUCACUGUUCACGUUGUAUCCGAAAAUUAUAAAGUUGAUUAUCAAAUUUUGAGAUAAUUGUAAAUUUGUUCUGUAUUCUAAAAAUAAAAUUAUUUGCUGGAAAAUAUUGCUAGCUAUUUGUAAUAAAUUACCGGAUAUCCAA